rnacentral:rRNA from 1 species
UAAGUGAUGGCGACCGGCGCACGGGUGAGUAACACGUAUCCAACCUGCCGAUAACUCGGGGAUAGCCUUUCGAAAGAAAGAUUAAUACCCGAUGGUAUAAUAAAGCCGCAUGGUUUAAUUAUUAAAGAAUUUCGGUUAUCGAUGGGGAUGCGUUCCAUUAGUUUGUUGGCGGGGUAACGGCCCACCAAGACUACGAUCGGUAGCCGGACUGAGAGGUUGAACGGCCACAUUGGGACUGAGACACGGCCCAG